AGUGAACGCUGGCGGUAGGCCUAACACAUGCAAGUCGAACGGCAGCACAGUAAGAGCUUGCUCUUACGGGUGGCGAGUGGCGGACGGGUGGGGAAUACAUCGGAAUCUACUUUUUCGUGGGGGAUAACGUAGGGAAACUUACGAUAAUACCGCAUACGACCUACGGGUGAAAGCAGGGGAUCUUCGGACCUUGCGCGAUUGAAUGAGCCGAUGUCGGAUUAGCUAGUUGGCGGGGUAAAGGCCCACCAAGGCGACGAUCCGUAGCUGGUCUGAGAGGAUGAUCAGCCACACUGGAACUGAGACACGGUCCAGACUCCUACGGGAGGCAGCAGUGGGGAAUAUUGGACAAUGGGCGCAAGCCUGAUCCAGCCAUACCGCGUGGGUGAAGAAGGCCUUCGGGUUGUAAAGCCCUUUUGUUGGGAAAGAAAAGCAGCAGGUUAAUACCCCGCUGUUCUGACGGUACCCAAAGAAUAAGCACCGGCUAACUUCGUG
rnacentral:rRNA from 1 species